GUGUGUGUGAAUGUGUGUGAGUGUGUGUGAGUGUGUGUGUGUGUGAGUGUGUGUGAGUGUGUGUGAGUGUGAGUGUGUGUGAGUGUGUGUGAGUGUUGUUGUGUGUGAGUGUGUGUGAGUGUGUGUGAGUGUGUGUGAGUGUGAGUGUGUGUGUGUGAGUGUGUGUGUGUGAGUGUGUGUGAGUGUAGCUGAUUAUUUACAGUAGAUGAGGUGAUGCUCCAACAGAGGAAGCGUUAAUCUGUAGUGUAUGUGUUAUGAAAGUGCUGAGUGAGUGUGUGUGUGUGUGUGUGUGUGUGUGUGUGUGUGUGUUAUGAAAGUGAAGGGUAUGAACACGCCUCCGCUGAGCAUCACG
ensembl:lncRNA